rnacentral:rRNA from 1 species
GUAGGGAAUAUUGGGCAAUGGAUGCAAGUCUGACCCAGCCAUCCCGCGUGCCGGAAGAAGGCCCUCAGGGUUGUAAACGGCUUUUGACGGUGAAGAAUCGACAGGAUGCGUCCUGUUUUGACGGUAGCCGUUGAAUAAGCACCGGCUAACUCCGUGCCAGCAGCCGCGGUAAUACGGAGGGUGCGAGCGUUGUCCGGAUUUAUUGGGUUUAAAGGGUGCGUAGGCUGGAAGGUCAGUCAGCGGUGAAAAGCUGUCGCUUAACGAUAGUCUUGACGCAGAUACUUCCUUUCUUGGAUGAGGAGGAGGCCACUGGAACGGAUGGUGUAGCGGUGAAAUGCAUAGAUAUCAUCCAGAACACCGAUUGCGAAGGCAGGUGGCUGUACCUUAAUCGACGCUGAUGCACGAAAGCAUGGGGAGCAAACAGGAUUAGAAACCCCUGUAGUCC